rnacentral:lncRNA from 1 species
GUUGGUGAGAAGUCGUUUAAGCUGAUAAUAUCCAAAAUAUGGAACUAUGACUCUGAGAACUUUUUAGAACCUUGUUCAACGAGUGAUUAUAGCCUUAGCAUAUACAUUGUGGGUUAGUUCUUACCCUUGGCUUCAUGCUCGUGACUCCGAACCUUUGGACCUUGCUUGUGUGCCUUGUGUGAUCUUGUUUGGGGUUGUUGCAUCAUGCAUUCAUUGCGUUCAUGAGCAUUUUUAUCAUGCUUCAAGG